rnacentral:lncRNA from 1 species
CCCACCAUAAUUUUUCAUAGUUUCACCGUCUUCCACACCUUUCUCCAUAUAAUUUUCUACACACCAAGGAGAUAUCAAAGAUCCCUUUAAAUAGAGCACUAUGCCACCAUAUAGGUGGAAGUUUGAUUUCUGUUUGAACUCGCAAACCAAAGUCUAUUAGAACAUAAAUUCUAACAAUCUUUAAAAAGAAAUAAUUAAAUAAAGUAACACUAAGAAUAGAAUCCUAAAGUCAUUAAAAUCAAUGACCAACUAAAAAUAAAAUCCUAAUUGAAUUGUGACUUAGCAAUGAAUCUUAAUACUCUUUCUGAUUGCAAAGUCUAUAUCGAUAAUGCUGAAUUUAUCAAUGUCAUAAAGCACUAGCCAUCGCCAUAUGAUGCAUAUGCCGAAAUUGAUAAUGUCCGUCAAUACUUUCUGUUAG